CAGAGAAUAGUUUAUAACUAAAAUAUUAGCUUUGGAGGCUGUUGUUAACAAAUUUUGUUUUCUUUGA
rnacentral:tRNA from 1 species